GACGAACGCUGGCGGCGUGCCUAAUACAUGCAAGUCGCACGCAGUGGGGACGGGUGAGUAACACGUGGGUAACCUCCCAUCAGAGGGGAUAACACUUGGAAACAGGUGCUAAACCGCUACUGAUGGAUGGACCCGCGGUGCAUUAGCUAGUUGGUGAGGUAACGGCUCACCAAGGCCACGAUGCAUAGCUGACCGGAGAGGGGGAGCGGCCAAACGGGGACUGAGACAGGGCCCAGACUCCGACGGGAGGCAGCAGUAGGGAAGCUUCGGCAAUGGACGAAAGUCUGACCGAGCAACGCCGCGUGAGUGAGGACGGCCGUCGGGUUGUAAAGCUCGGUUAAUCGGGACGCGGUACCGGAAGAGAAAGCCACGGCUAACUACGUGCCAGCAGCCGCGGUAAUUC
rnacentral:rRNA from 1 species